rnacentral:lncRNA from 1 species
AAUUCUCUCAUUAUAUCAGUCUAUAAACAAGCCCCAUUCACACCAAUAACAAAUCAGUAGCCAAAAAUCAGAAUCAAAGCUUAAAAAGGUAUAAACCCUAGCUUGAUUUUUCUUAAACUUUUUGGUGUUAGAUGUUAUGUUUAAAUGUUAAAACAUGUUGAUUAUAGUGUCUAAGGAUGAUCUGGGUUGCUUGAUGUUGAUUCCAUAACAUUCAGAAGCUCGGAUUUGAAGAUCUUCAAAAUCUGGAAAUUUUAAUUUUUGUGUUCUGACAACGAAUGUCAGAGGCUGUAGAUCCCAUCCUGUUAAGCGUUUUUGAUGUUUAAAGCUUGCUAUGUGUAGCCUGGUAUGUUGUCUUUAUUCUGCAAAAGGAAAUCAUGGUCAUAUUUGUUGUAGAUUAGAAGAUAUUUAUGUCAAACUACCAUUGACCGAACUGCUCAAUAACAUUUCUGGGUUUUCCAGAAAUGUUCAAGAACAGUUGUUGAGGUCACCUUUGACCGGCCUCUUUCUGUUGGAUCUGGUGUUGUUAUAUGCCUUAUAUGUAAUAGAGUUGUAGUAUUACAUGUUAUCUACAACCUGGAAGCAAUAGAUCACUUAGAUCAAACUCAGAAUGAAAGAUAUAAAGAUCCAAAGUAGCCUGCACGAUCAGUUUUAAAAUUCUGGAAAACCCAGAAUUGGCAUGCAAGUUUUGUCAGAGAGUUUGAUGAUUUAUAUCUUUGGUAUUGUUAAUGUUUAGACUUGAAACUUGAUUUAAUCAUGUUCUCUGUAAGUUGUACUACAUAGCCCGACGUAUAAAACACCUAUAACAUGUACAGAUCGACCAGAAUAAGACCACUAAGGUCGUUGACCGGUGUUGACCAGAGUUUUCUGGGCAACCCAGAAACAUGAAGAACACGUCUGACAAGGUUUUCUAUUGAUCAUAUCUCACAGAUUUGUUGUUGUUUGGUCAUGAAAUGAGUAUAUAGUUGUAGUAUUACAUUAGUACUACAACAUUGAAGUUUUUGCAAGUCCAGAAAACAUUUAGAUCAUGGAUUUAAGGCUCGGUCAAACUAGCACCUUUGUGCACUGACAUGAAGCUCAAGAACACCUAUAGCGACGGUUCUGUCGCUAUAGAUGCCUUUAGCGACAGUUAUCAUUUUAUUUUCCGGAAAUUAAUUUAAAAAUUAGAAAAAUUAGUUUUUAAUUAUUAAAAAUACCAAAUAAAUUAUGAAAAAUUAUUUUAAAGUCUGAAAAAUAGUUUUUAAUUAUUUUGAGUAUAUUUCAUAAAUAUUUAAUAUUUUUGAAAUAUAAAAGGUAUUUAUUUAUUUAAUUAUAAUAUUAAAUAAAUGAUUUAAAAAUAGUUUUAAUUCAUGAAAAAUCAUGAAAAAUUAUUUUAUGGUAUAAGAAAAUAUUUUGAGUUAUUUUCCAUGACUUUUAAUAUUUUGUGAUGAAUUUCAUUAAUUAAUUAUAUAUUAAUGAUAUUAAAGUUAUUUAAUGAUUAUAUUAAAUAAUUUAGUUUAAAAAUGAUUUUAAUAUUAUAAAAAUCAUUUUAAAUGAAAUUAAGGUAUUUAAAAAUAUUUUAAGUUAUAAAAUAUAACUUUUAAUAUUUAAAGGAUAAUUUCAUUAAUAAUUUAAUAUUAAUGAUAUUAAGAUAAUAUUAAUGAUAUUUAGUUUAUUUAAUAAUUAUUAUUAAAUAAAUAGUUUAAAAAUGGUUUUAUUUAUUUAAAAAUCAUUUAAAGAGGAUAUUAAGGAUUUAAAAAUAUUUUAAGUUAUAAUUAAUGACUUUUAAUAUUUGGAUGAAUAGUACAUUAAUAUUUAUAUAUUAAUGGUGAUUAUUUAAAAAUGAUUUUAAUUGUUUUAAAAAUCAUUUAAGGGUAAUAUAAAUGUUUUAAAAAUAGUUUGAGUUAUUAUAAAUAACUUUUAUAUUUUGGCAAUGGUUUCAUUAAUAGUUUAAUAUAAAUUAAUUAUUAAUGAUAAUGGAAUUGUUUAAUGUUUAAAUCAUUUAAUUAUGAUUCCGAUGUUUGAAAGUUAUAGCCGGCCAAACUAGCUGACUUGAGAACCGAUUAUGAAGUUAUGAAGUUUUGAGGAACACCUAUAGUAACAGUUAUAUCACUAUAGGCCCGGUAGUGACAGAUUUGAAUUAUUUUAAAUUUUUCAAUUUCUGGAAAAUUCGAAAAUGAUUAAAAAUAAAAUGUUUGAUAUUUACAGAUGUUGAGGUAUAGGAUAAGAGUCUUAGACUCAGUAUUUACCCGAUAAAGCUGUCGGUACGCCGACAAAUGUCAGACCCUAUAAUAGAAAGAAAAGACUUCUGUAAGAGCAUGGAUGAGAUAUUUGAAAAAUGUAUAAAAAUAUUUCAAGUAUAGAAUAUGAACUAAAAGUAUGAUCACUGCGAUUAUGUGAUGACGUGAUUAGACUAUGUGCUGACUGUAAUAGACAGUACUAUGUGUUAUGAUAUAUUGUUCUAAUCGAACGAAUGAUCUGAUUAUUGAUAGGUUGUGAUAAAGAGAUAAAACCUAAGUUGAGAUUUGUAAUCAGCAAAUCAGGCAAGUAUCUUACCUUUGCAUUUCCUUUAUGCAAUGGACAUGAGUAAGAAGUUUCAGAAUUAUUCUAUUCCUGUACAG